CGCACAUUGCGCCCAUUGGUAUCCCGAUGGGCAUGCACGUUCGAGCGUCAUCAAACACCGUCAGGCCCUGUGCCUGGUGUUGGGCCCUGCCGGUAGAACGGCUGGCCCUAAAAGCAGUGGCGGCGCCAUCUGGCCCUCAGCGUAGUAACUACCCUCGCUAGGAGGUCUGGUGGCAGCCUGCCAGCAACCGCAACCCCUAUGUUUGACCUCGGAUCGUGUAGGAAUACCCGCUGAACUUAA
rnacentral:misc_RNA from 1 species